GUCUUCAUGGCUUAGUUGGUUAAAGCGUCGGUCUCAUAUCUUCUAGAUGUGACUCAUUUUCAGAGUGGGAUAUCCGAAGGUCGCGAGUUCGACUCUCGCUGAGGACA
rnacentral:tRNA from 1 species